rnacentral:rRNA from 1 species
GGGGAAUAUUGGGCAAUGGGCGCAAGCCUGACCCAGCAACGCCGCGUGAGGGAAGAAGGUUUUCGGAUUGUAAACCUCUGUCGCAGGGGACGAAGGAAGUGACGGUACCCUGUAAGAAAGCCCCGGCUAACUACGUGCCAGCAGCCGCGGUAAUACGUAGGGGGCGAGCGUUGUCCGGAAUUACUGGGCGUAAAGGGAGCGUAGGCGGUCGAUUAAGUUAGAUGUGAAACCCCCGGGCUUAACUUGGGGACUGCAUCUAAUACUGGUUGACUUAGAGUACAGGAGAGGGAAGCGGAAUUCCUAGUGUAGCGGUGAAAUGCGUAGAUAUUAGGAGGAACACCAGUGGCGAAGGCGGCUUUCUGGACUGACACUGACGCUGAGGCUCGAAAGCGUGGGGAGCAAAC